rnacentral:rRNA from 1 species
GUCUACAGCUUUACCACCCUGAAUGCACCUGGGAAGCUAAGCAGGGUUGGACCUGGUUGCUACUUGAAUGCGAGACAAAAAGAACGAUCUUAUUAGUUGUAGUGG